rnacentral:rRNA from 1 species
GACGAACGCUGGCGGCGUGCUUAACACAUGCAAGUCGAACGGAAAGGCCCUGCUCUUGUGGGGUGCUCGAGUGGCGAACGGGUGAGUAUCACGUGAGUAACCUGCCCUUGACUUUGGGGUAACAUAAGGAAACUGGGGCUAUUACCGCAUAUAAGCUCCUGCUGCAUGGUGUGGGUUGGAAAGUUUCGGCGGUUGGGGAUGGACUCGCGGCUUAUCAGCUUGUUGGUGGGGUAGUGGCUUACCAAGGCUUUGACGGGUAGCCGGCCUGAGAGGGUGACCGGCCACAUUGGGACUGAGAUAGGGCCCAGACUCCUACGGGAGGCAGCAGUGGGGAAUAUUGCACAAUAGGCGGAAGCCUGAUACAGCAACGCCGCGUGCGGGAUGACGGCCUGCGGGUUGUAAACCGCUUUCGCCUGUGACGAAGCGUGAGUGACGGUAAUGGGUAAAGAAGCACCGGCUAACUACGUG